rnacentral:tRNA from 1 species
CCGCGCCUUCGCGUGGUCGUUCAGCACCCUCUCCUCCAAGGGGAGGCGUGCGUGCGAGUCGCGAGUGCGUCC